GAUGAACGCUGGCGGCGUGCCUAAUACAUGCAAGUCGAGCGAAGCGGGGACGGGUGAGUAAAACGUGGAAAACCUCCGAUAAGAAUGGGAUAAUUCCGGGAAAGCGGAGCAAAACCGGUUAAUGCAAGAUGGAUCCGCGCUGCAUUGGCUAGUGGGUAAGGUAACGGCUUACCAAGGCAACGAUGCAUAGGCGGCCGGAGAGGGUGAUCGGCCACACUGGAACUUAGACACGGUCCAGACUCCUACGGGAGGCAGCCGUAGGGAAUCUUCCGCAAUGGGCGAAAGCCUGACGGAGCAAUGCCGCGUGAGUGAUGAAGUUCUUCGGCUCGUAAAACUCUGUUAUUAGGGAAGCGUUACCUAAUCAGAAAGCCCCGGCUAACUCCGUGCCAGCCGCCGCGGUAAUUC
rnacentral:rRNA from 1 species